UGGGUGUGUCUGUGCAGGUAUUGCCAAAGGAGAUUGAUAUUUGAGUCAGUGGACUGGGAGAGGCAGACUCACCCUCAAUCUGGAUGGGCAUCAUCUCAUCAGCUGCUAGUGCAGCUAGGACAAAAGCAGCCAGAGGAAUGUGGAAGGACUAGACUGGUUAAGUCUUCUGGCCUCUAUCUUUCUUCCAUGCUGGAUGCUUCCUGCUCUCGAACAUCAGACUCCAAGUUCUUCAGCUUUUGGAAUCUUGGUGUUACACCAGUGAUUUGCCAGGGGUUCUCGGGCUUUUGGCCACAGACUGAAGGCUGCACUGUUGGCUUCCUUAUUUUGCAGGCUUUGUGACUCUGACUGGCUUCCUGGCUCCUCAGCUUACAGAUGGUCUACUGUGGGACUUCACUUUGUGAUUGUGUUUUUAUAUUUCUAACAAUCGAGUGGCUCCACCUGGACCUGCCAACCAGUUCCGUGGCCCCACUCAGGAACUCACUCAGCAAAAGAGAACAGCUGUGACGCCCUGUGAUUUCAUCCCCAAGCCGACAAUCAGCACAGCACUCCCGAGUCACUGGCCCCCUACCCACCAAAUUAUCCUUAAAAACUCUGAUCCCCAAGUUUUUGGGGAGACUGAUUUGAGUAAUAAUGAACCUCGAGUCUCCUACACAGCCGGCUCUGCUUGAAUUACUCUUUCUCUAUUUCAAUUCCCCUGUGUUGAUAAAUAGACUCUAUCUAGGCAGUGGGCUAGGUGAGCCCCUUGGGCAGUAACAUACAUACCGGACAAUGUAAUCAUUAUUCUAAACUAGUUUGUUUUUGGUGGAAGUGUGUGGGUGUGUGUUCUAAAGUUUAUUAACAAAUAAUUAAUAAAUAGCCUCCAGCACCAUAUGCAUUGCAUACUUGUAGAAGUAGAUCUGGAUAUUGUUAGAACUCACCCUUAAAUAAGUAUGGGAUUCUAUUUUUUUUUUUAAAGUAGAAAAGUUAAAUACAAACAUAAGCAUCUAUUUAAAGUAGAAAAGGAAAUAUAAUGAAAUGCAAAUUUUUAAAAGUGUGAUUUCUGUGAAAUUCAGAAAAUAAUAGUUUUUUCUAUUUGUACCUAAUACACUUGUAAAAUAUUUCUUUUGCAUUUUUAAAUUGUGCAUCUUUGGUUGCCUCUAGAAAAAACUAUUAUUUUAAUAUGCUUUUUUCCUAAAGAGAAUAUAAGUAUAGUUCAGUCUUUCUUCUUCUAUAAUUGAUUGAAUUUUAUUAUUAUUAUUGAUAGUUGGGAUUCAUGAGCUUCUCACACAGAGACACUUCGUGCUUGUAGUACUACUAUAGGUUUUGGCCCACAAACCCAUAAAUUGUAAUAAGUUCUACUGUUUGAGAUUUCCUAUAAAAAAUAAAAAUAAUGCUUUGUGCAUUUAAAAUUACAUAUUACUUGUCUAUAUUUUACACAGAAUUUAUACUUUUAGUUGACAUUGUUAAAAGCCUAAUCCUUUGCUUUAAU
rnacentral:lncRNA from 10 species